CACCUGGAGCAGCCCCAAGAGGUGGCCGAGGACAUUCCCAGAUUCACAGGGCAGGUGUCACCCAACUCCGGUGGCCAGAGGACAGCACUGAACUCGUGUGGGGUGACACCGGAGCCGCUGAUGGAUGCUGGGAAGCUCUGGGAGACCAACCCCUGCAGCCCAAGGGCCAACGUGUUCCUGUGCCAGGGUCUCACCAGGACUGGGCAGCGGUGCCGGAAGAAAGCGAUUCCCGGGCAGGAAUUCUGUCACAUCCACACCACCAGCAGCAGCUCGGCCAUGGAUUCAUCCCGCCAUUUUUGACCCUCUACCCGCCUCUCCCUGAGGGGUUUUAACUCUUUUUAUGGUUAUUCCAGAUCCUGGUGGAGAACACAGACCCUAAGGAUGCCACUGGAUGUGGGUCCAGGGCAGACGUUCAUUACCCCACCAGUUUUAUGCUAUUUGCAUAUAUUUUAAUAAAUGCCACAUUUACAGCUG